rnacentral:rRNA from 1 species
UACGUAGGUGGCAAGCGAUACUCGGAAUCACUAGGCGUAAAGCGCAGGUAGGAGGUUUGGCAAGUCUCUUGUGAAAGCUCCCGGCUCAACUGGGAGAGGUCAAGGGAAACUACCAGGCUAGAGUGCGGUAGAGGUAGCUGGAAUUCCCGGUGUAGCGGUGAAAUGCGUAGAUAUCGGGAGGAAUACCUAUGGCGAAAGCAGGCUACUGGACCGUCACUGACUCUGAUCUGCGAAAGCUAGGGGAGCAAACAGG